rnacentral:rRNA from 1 species
UUUAAUUGAAGAGUUUGAUCAUGGCUCAGAUUGAACGCUGGCGGCAGGCCUAACACAUGCAAGUCGAGCGGUAACAGGAGAAAGCUUGCUUUCUUGCUGACGAGCGGCGGACGGG